ACCAGAGUGGUGUAGUGGUUUGAACAUUGGACUAUGACUCCAGAGAUCAGAGUUAAAUUCCCUGCUCAGCCA